rnacentral:misc_RNA from 1 species
GACGAGCAUCGAUAUUCUGGCCAUGGAAGUAGACGUCGCGGUCCAGGGUGACCUCGAGGUUCAGCUUGCCAGGAGAGAGCGUGAAGCUCUUGCUUACCAGGGUCUGGGGCUGGCGAUUGCUGGGUUCAAUAGGAGCAAACUGGACCUUUCGAACGGCGAAGCUGACGGAGUUCCGCUUGUGAGGACGUUCCUCCUUGCGGUCAGC